rnacentral:rRNA from 1 species
UGGGGAAUAUUGGACAAUGGGCGCAAGCCUGAUCCAGCAAUGCCGCGUGUGUGAAGAAGGCCUUCGGGUUGUAAAGCACUUUUAUCAGGAGCGAAACGCUGUCGGCUAAUACCCGGCGGAACUGACGGUACCUGAGGAAUAAGCACCGGCUAACUUCGUGCCAGCAGCCGCGGUAAUACGAAGGGUGCAAGCGUUAAUCGGAAUUACUGGGCGUAAAGCGUGCGUAGGCGGUUUCUUAAGUCUGCUGUGAAAUCCCCGGGCUCAACCUGGGAAUGGCAGUGGAUACUGGGAGGCUAGAGUGUGUCAGAGGGUGGUGGAAUUCCCGGUGUAGCGGUGAGAUGCGUAGAGAUCGGGAGGAACAUCAGUGGCGAAGGCGGCCACCUGGGACAACACUGACGCUGAGGCACGAAAGCGUGGGGAGCAAACAGGAUUAGAUACCCUGGUAGUCCACGCCCUAAAGCGAUGCGAACUGGAUGUUGGUCUCAACUCGGAGAUCAGUGUCGAAGCUAACGCGUUAAGUUCGCCGCCUGGGGAGUACGGUCGCAAGACUGAAACUCAAAUGAAUUGAC